AAAAUAAUUGCCACGACAACGAAGAACAAUUCUCCUACCUUGGAUGGCUAUAUGAGUAAAUUAUAUAUGAUCAAGUUCAAGUUGCUGAGAUUGGAGUAUGCUGGAUUACCCUCCUACAGUUAAUGGCAAACUUAUUGUUUCUUCCAAUAAGUUAAAAAGCAAAAAAAUAAAAAAUAAAUUGUUAGAUGAUUUCUAAUUUCUGUCAUUUGUGUCUACGUUAUCAUAAUUAGUGUGUUUAUUGCAAAACUAUUCAGCUACCUAGCUGUAUAAGAAAUGAAAUCUGUGUGUGUGUGUGUGUGAAUAUGUGCGGUAGUAAUAAACCUAAAUGUAAUGUCAAAGUACUCUAUCUUGGUUCUUAGACUUCCUGAUGAGAUAGAAUUUGCAUGAUUUUGGAGGCUAGGUAUGCUAAUUAUGUGGGAUAUACACUUGCAGGGUAUUUUAUUUAUUUAUUUAUUUUUGUUGGGAUUUUAUUAUUAUUUUUUUAUCAGCAAAAAAAACAUGAGCUAUUUUGUUAGGAUUUCAUAAUCAUAAUUCUAUUGAAAGAAACA